GCCAUCUUGCGGCGGGGGCCACCCUGAGGGGGCCGCGGGCACUGCCCCCCGCCCCGCCGAGCGCUGCGGUGCCAAACACUGUCCCUGCCGGACACGGGCGGCCCCCGGGCACCCGAGGGCCCACAGUGCAGUCGGGCUGUUCUGAGGGGACACACACACACACACACAGGGUCACCUGAUGUGAAGGCAGAGCAGACUCGCCAAAGAGAUGCACCAAAGCUCUUUAAGUUGCUUUGAAACAGAAAUGGCAGCCAGGACUCUGCAGUUUUAAAGCAUCUGUUUUGUUCCCUAGAAGAAAUGCACACCAAAGUAGACCACUGGAUCAAUGGGAAAGAAUUCCAUCGUCUUGGAUGGGCUUUGCAUCAUGCCCUGCAGUUGCUUUACCUGUGUUUGGCUGGCAGACUGGCAUCCCUCAGAGAGCUCUCAGGGCACGAGGAACUCAGUGCAAUUCCCUCCAGAGAUCUCCAGAGAAACAUCUGUAGCCACACAGCUCCCAGUGCAUUAUUCUGGGACUCUUUGAUCUGCCUUUGUCCUCCUGAACCUCGCAUGUAGAGAUGAUGGAGCCUUUUCCACUGUGUUGUAAGAACAGAUGUUUUAAAUUCAGGUUUCAGCAGAGCAGUCAAACAGCCUUUCUAAACCUUAAAGAUGGAACCAAGUUUCCUACCCACACCUCCCCUGUGCAGCUGGAGAGCAGAGUGGGUGUCCCUGGGCCCAGGUGCUGCUCCAUCCUUGCCUGCCAGGACACACACAGACCUCUGGGCUUUUUCUGCAGCCGAGACAAACCGUGGAGUUCUGCUGGCCUGAUCCACCCCGGACAGGUGUGUGCAGGCCAGGAUUGGAGGUGGGAUCCCCAGCUGUGUUUUCCUUUGAGCACUCUCUGCCUCCCAGGUGGUGGCACAGGUACAGCACAUGAGCCGCUCUCUGGGCGCUCACAGGUUACCAACGUGAACGUGAAAUGUUUCUCCAUUUUCACAAUAACAAAACUAGAAAACCCUUUACAGCCCAGAGGGUUUAUCUUCUCUCCUCUUUGUUAUAACCUGAAGCCCCAGCCUAAGCCUCUGGUUCUCCUGCAGUUCCCGAGGCAAUGGCAAUGUGGUGUAACCAUGCAGAGACAUCCUGUCGGCUCCUGCAAAGGCCUGGAGCCACGUGUUGUGACACAGCAGGCUGUCCUACAAAAGUACAAGAAGGGAUGGGAACAGCAGAGGCUUUGAGAUUUUAUCCAAACUGGGAGCACUUAGUGGAUGGAUUGCUGAUUGACACUACUUAGUUCUGCUGCCAGUAAUAAACUACAUAUUGUAGCUGCCCUUGAAGCAUAGAUUUACCUUCCUGCCCGCCCUUCUUCCCAAUGCCUCUGCAGUCUGUGUGGCUCCAGGGAUUCCACACAACUGCACUGGUCUCCCAUUGCUCAGCCCCAGCCCACAUCCCUGUUGGGUGAGAACAGUCCCAGCCAGGGCCUGCACAGCCUUUGUGCCACAGCAGUGACUGAAGGGCAUGAGGAGUGUGAUCCUUCCCAGCUAAUCCAGUAAAGAAACAGCAGAACUUCCAUUUCACAGACUCCAUUAAUAACUGUAAAGCUUCUCUCUGUGUUGCUCCUUUAGCUUCUAUCCCCCAAGGAACACUGCCCCUGACACUGUAGCUGUCAUGUACAGCUGGGCCCUUAGAGAACACAGAGAUGACACAAAUGUCUGAGUAAAAAUGAAUGGUGUAUUUAUUGCCUUAAAGUUUUUAAUAACAAUUCAUUGGCAAAAAUUACUUUGACCUCUCUCAGCACAUUAGUUUACAUUUCUAUAGAAAUGUCAGGUGUGCUCUUUCUACUACAGAGCAAGCAGGGAACAGCAGUUUGUAUUUUCAGCUUUCUACCAAAAGCAGCUCUGCUAAAUUCAGGGCAAGACUCUGCUGGCCAGGGACAAAGUUCCGUCUCUCAGAUCUCCAGUGAUAAGUAUCAGUUAACAGUAAUCCUCAGUUUGGGUAAGUUAAGAUGCACUGUUUUCUCUUGUUUUACAGAAGGCAUUUCCAAAACUCUCCCACUGCUAAAUGACAGCCUGAUUUAUUUUCAGAGUCACAUACAAAAAAUGCAGCUGAUCAAAUACAUACCUAGAAAAAUCCAAGAAUGCUUUUCUGAAGUUCUGGCAGAGG